CCAUAUAGAGAGAGAGUUGCGACAACUCCAUUGACUCCAACGGAACGCUUUUUUUACAGCAAUGGCGGCUCGUGGAGCCUCUCAAUAGUUCCCGGAAGUAGCAGCAAACCGAUGCCGCGCCGUAGAGAUGCAGCAGAACAAACCGUUUGCGACGCACUUUUAAAAGGUGGAGGAUUAGUGGUACCACUGGACUGUUCUGUGAUGGAGCAUCAGUGAGGAUGCAGACCCAGGUAACUGGCUGAUGGUUCACUGGAAUGCUGACUG